rnacentral:tRNA from 1 species
UUCCUGAUAGUCCAAUGACUAAGACUCUGCACUCACAAUGCUGGGGGCCCAGGUUUGAUUCCUAGUCAGGGAU